GUUGUCAAGAUGCUGUUUGUUUACACUCUUCAACUUCAUCUGGAAAAACACUGAAUUCUAAGUUACCUUGCCUCGUGACGGCUUGUAAUGGUGUCCGUCGUUAUAUUUCGGCCAAGGGAAGUUCCGCCGUGUCGUCCUUCCAGCCUCAGAUGUAGAGAAAUACGGUGAAAAGGUGCUUGAUAUGAGGUCAGGGCGGCGUCUUCAAGCAGAGGUCAGAGUGAUGCUGUGAGGUCAUGAGGAUGCGGGACGUCGAGGGCCAGGCUGAGGGAGAGGCCGCCAGGUUCAUCCCAGCGGCCCUUCAGCAUCCUCCUCCUCCUCCUCUUCUCUCCAGCGGCGGCGGCCAGGAGGGUGGGAGUGAGAGCCAGGUGGUGCUAGCUGGGCCCAGUGGCACCGGUGAGCGCAGGAAAGCCGGGAGACUACGCAAGAAGCUGGUUGGUCGUGGCACUACCAGAUUUGACGAGCACAUAGAGACAGCGGAACCAGCACCCGAGGCCUCCGCACUAGACCCUCGAAAACUAUGGCAGCGUGCGGCGACGGAGGCCCGGGCUACCUCCAGGAUCGAAGGGGAGGAAUUCUUCACAAGGAUAUGGCCGGAGGAGAAGCCUAUCGCACCUUCCUCUCCUCCAGGUUUCUCUCUCCAGGACAUCUUCUCUCCAUCUUCCUCCACCACCGCAGAGAGAAAGGAGGAAAGGAAGAAGAGAGAAGAGGAGGAGGAGGAGGAAGGUGAAGGCUUUGACGAGGAGGGCCACAUGCUGGUUGGUGUCACCCCUGGCACUCACCCCUGUCCACCCACCCACCAGGCACCAGCUGUUUAUGUACCCCUGCACCUCCGGCGAGCCCAGCAACGCUCCACCCUCUUCAUGCCCUCCAGUCUGCCUAGUGACGUUCGGAGCAAGCUGGAGGAAGGGAGGAGCUUGCGGGACCCAGUGGAGGAAGGUCUCUACGUCGGAGAGAAACCUUUCCUCACCCCGGCCAACCGAAACAUUGUGGAGAACAGACUCCUCCGCCAAAACAACCGGCAUUGGUUCUCCGAGACUGGUUCCCUGGAGCGCCUCAACACCCCAGUCAGCGAGCAGUUUCAUCACCACCUCCCUCCGCACCUCCAGGCCGCUCAACACCACAAGGAGGCGAUGACAGUGUUCAUGGAGCCCCAGCCCAAUGACAGUCUACUCCAGGACAGCAUUGGUGGUGGUGGUGGUGGUGGUGGUGGAGUCCUGGAUCUGGAGUUGUGUGGCCUCAGGUUCACCCACCACCCGCUCUUCUCCCCCGAACACGUCUUGGCGGCCCAGCUCACCCGCGACUUCACCCUCUACAAGGAACGGGUGAGCCUGGGGGCCACUCGCAUCCUCCAGGCCAAGCUAGCGGUCUUACGUCAAUCCCUGGCCAAAUUACGCAAGACCGAGCCCUCAGACCAGACCCAGCAGCGCCCCAGGACAGCCCGGGAUGAACUGGGCACCACGAGGAGGCUUGAAAUCUACCGCCGGGAGGUCAAGGCGUGCAGGGAGGAAGCAAACGCGGAGGCCGAGAGAGACCGUGAACUCGUGACCCGACUUUUACGAGUGUGGAAGUCCAUUAAGGAGCUCCGCCGAUCCUCAAGAGUCCACGCCACCUCCAUAAGGCUCCUAAUCCGCAAGGAGGAGGUGGAGCAGGUGGAGGAGGAGGAACAGAGGAAGGUGGAGCUGGAGGAGGAGGUGCGGGAGGUACUGGAGGAGAGACAGCUGGAGUUUGAUGUCCAGAGCAAGAGGUAUGAGAGGGAGAUGGUGGCGUGGAGGACCGAGCACAGGAAGAGGAAGGAGGCGCGGAGGAGGCAGGAGGAGCGGAGGAGGACACUGGAGGAGGGCAGCACAAUGGAGGGGGAGGAGGAGGAGGCCCUUAUACAGGCAGCCCAGGACGACACUCUCCUGGCCACCCCUGAGCCUCCCAGACCUGCCAAACCUCCUAAGCCACCUCUGAAACACAAGAUUGAGCUUGAGGUCCUGGAGGUGUUUUCCCGGACCCGCAAGCCCCCUGGGGAGCCUGUGGUGAGCCUGGAGCUGACCCAGACCACCCCUGCGGAGCCCCACACCUCUUGCCCAGACCGAGAGAAGAAGCGCAGACUGGCUGUGUCCAAGACGAGGGUGUGGCUUAGGGUUCUCGUCAACAACAAGCUUGUGACCCAAACCCCCUCGACUACCCUGGGGCCAGAGUUCAGCCUCCCCCUGGGCCACACCUUCAGGAUGGCCCUCUCCUCGUGGCCCCGGAGCCUGGCGGUGGAGGUGGUGGAGGGCGCGGCACUCCGGCAGGCACUGGUGGCAUCUGUGGCCCUGCCCAUCCCCGGACACCCUGGCACUACGAGGGAUGCCGUGGAGAUGGUGGAGUUUAGUGGGUGCCAGGUGGUGAGUCACAGCCACGCCGGUGUGGGCUGUGGUCGUGUUGGGUCACAAUAUGGGUCAAGCUUCACCACAGGGGAACUCCGCUACAGACUGGGGUGGGCCACUGGGGCGGAGGGGGAGGUACUGGCGCCCCCUGGACUACCCCCUGCUACCACUACUGCUCCUGCCUCCCCUGCUGGCCUGAAGCUGGUGAUGCCGGGUGCCGAGGGAGGUGGAGGAGGAGGGGGGCCAGGGGAGGGGGGGCACAGCUUGCAUGAGGCCCGACUUGACCCCAAUGACCCCGCCAAUGCUGCCCUCCUUGAUCAUCUUAAGAAGACAGGAGGAGGUGGCCGGCGGAGGAACAUGUACGGCGGAGGUGGAGGGGGGCGGUACCUCAGCCUGGAUGGAGGGGGGGGGCUGCUGGCUGCCUGGGAAGGGGGGCGGGGAGGGGGCGUGAGGCUGAGGGUCUUGGAGCUGAGGGACCAAGGAGAGCCUCUAUACAGGGAUGCCAGGAUGGUGCCAGCGCUCGAGUGCCAGGUGCUGCGCGACCCUCUGCAGAACUUCGACCAGAGGACCCGAGAGAUGGAGGAGGAGGUGGAGGCAAUCGUACCAACAGCUGGAGGGAAAAACGGAGGAAACGGAGACCCCCACACCACUGCCGGAGGAGGAGGAGGGGGAGGGGUGAGGGUGCUACUGGGGGAGGGGUGGGGGGAGGAGUUGGAGAGAAGGUGGGAGCGAGUGGAGGGACUUCUGGCUUCCCUCCGACGACGCCUCCAGCUCCGAUACUCCCCUGAAGCCUUGGCACCCUCCCUUGAAGACCUGGUGAGGGAGGAGAGCAUCCCGGAUAUUGGCACUCUCGGAAGUUCCCUAGCAGCUGUGUUCCGUGCCCGCCGUCCGCUCCGCCCCACGCGCCGCCCCAGGGACCGAGUUCGCGGCGCUGCCCUCACCGACCAGCACGUGAGGCUCAUCGUGCAUGUGGCAAGGGCCUUCAAUGUGCCUGUCCGAGACCCACAGCAGCAGGACCAAGGUGGAGUUGGUGGUGGUGGUGGUGAUGAAGGGUGUGUGCGGACCUUAGUGGAGGUGACCUUCCAGCGGACCACCCUCAGCACCAGUGUGGCGGAAGGGCCCAACCCAACGUGGAACCAGCAACUCUCCUUCCCCUUCCGGGCUCCCAAUGACAACUUCUCCCCGGGCAGUCUUCAGCAGGUGAGGGAGGACGUGUUUCUCCACCUCUAUGACCAGGUGACCCAAGACCUACUGGAUGACCCACGCCUGCGACCUUCGACCCUGCACCACCGCCUUCACCACCGCUGGCUGGGCUCACUCACCAUACCUUUCUCCACUAUAUAUGCUAAUGCUAAGAUUGAGGGAACCUUUGCCUUAGAAGAACCAGUGGUGUUGCUUGGCUACUCCAGAGACCUCAACACCACUCCAGUACACACCACCACCACCUCCAGCCCAGUGUCAUCACCACCAGCAGCAGCAGGGCGCUUCAACACCACCAACACCACCUCCACCACCACCACUGGGAGCCUCAACACCACCCACCUCUCUCUCUACAUCACCCUGGAGCCAUCCCUGCCACCUCCAGAGCCUCUCAAGGCCCAGUUUGAGUCCGGCGAGCCUGAGGAGAUUGUGGCAGCCGGGCGAGAGUGGGUUGACAGCAUAUCCGCUCGCUACCCUCGACGCAAAUUCCGCACCCAUGUCUUGGACCUCUCUGGCCGUCUCGUCUGCCUUACACGAUACCUCAGGCCCCUGCAGCCCCCCCAGGAGCUGGUAUGUGAGGAUCCUGCCGCCACCGUGCGUCGCGUUGCCUGGUUUGUGUCGCUCAUCCCCUCCCUGGCGGACCUCACACUCUUCCCUGGGGCUGGAGACAUCUGGGCUAACUCUGAGCAAUUUCUAACUAUGCUGACUGGAGACGAGGAGGAGCAUGCUGUCCUGCUGACCUGCUUCUUCCUGCACCUGGGAAAGACUGCCUACCUGCUGCUGGGCAGCGGUGUUCCCGAGGGUGAGACGUGCUAUGUGGUGACGGAGGAAGCCCAGGGGGAGUGGUUGGUGUGGCAGCCCUCCACUGGCCGAUGUUACAACCCACGGCACCCCUUCUCACCCCUCCAUGCCGUCCACCAGCUGGUCACCCAAGACAACAUCUGGGGCAACGUUCAAAAGUACGAUGACCCUCCAAGAGUUAACCUGGAUGUGUCAGGGUCAGGCUGGCGUCCGUUUUUUGGCCGAGGAGGCGUGAGGGACCCGGGGUUAGCCAGCGUGCAGCCCCAGCGCCUUGACCUCCUGCCCCCUGACGCCGAGCAGGUCAAGGCACUACAGGAACGCCUUGAACUGAGUCUACGGGACGCGUUUAUGAAGUGGAGGGGAACGAACAGGACCAUAUGGAACAGACAUGCCAUAAAGGUGUUGAGGAAGCUGAUUGAAGGAAUGGAGAAGACUCGCAUCUCCACCACCACCACCAACACCAGUCUUCAGCACCACCAGCACCCCUUCCACCACCACCACCACCACCACCACCCUGACCUUGCCCAACUUGCCGCCAUCAUGACCUCACAUCAGGUGUGUGGUGUCUGCAUCCACCAGGGGUACAGCACAGCGGCAGGGGUGGUGGCAGCAGUUCAUGGGGCAGGGGUACACCUCACUCAAGCCCCAGGGGUGGAGUUCGCCCUGGCAAUCCACUUGCACGCUUACCCUGGCCAAGUCUUGUCAGUGUGGGUCUACGUGGCGGCCCUGCUACAACGGACAUGAUCUUGAGGCUUUGUACUGUUAGGGUAAGCCAUAGGAAGUUAAGGUUUGUGGACAGACAUGCAGGGUAAAGUUAAGCUGUAGGAGACUUACCCUUGAGUCUCUGUGUCUUGAGGGUAAACUAUAGGAAAUUGGUCUUCGUAGAGAGGGUCAUAUUUUAAGCAUUCCGGCCCUGGAGAAAGGGUCAAAGAGAGAACUUAAUGAUAUGAAGAUGGAGGGAAAGGCAUAGAAAACUGGGCUUCAUAGAUGGAGUAAUAUAGGACUUCCAUUUAAUGUUUUAAACUGUACUAAUGGGAGAGAGAACCUAAAGAAGUGAAGCCUCAAGAGGGUGAUCAGUGUUGUACUAGUCAUAGAAUCUAAUCCCCUAUCCAAAGUGAGCUUGUGAUAGUGUUUAAGAAGAAAUAUUGUGUUCAGAAACUAGUCAUAGGGGAUUCAAUAGCUCCUUGCAACUCCUAGUCAAUUUUUAUCCGGGUCAUUUAGUUCAGUAUCAGUGUCAGGGUUAAGCAGUACCAGCAUCACUAACAUGACUGAGGUGACGGGAGUAAAUACGCAACAUUUCUAGUAAAAUAUGAAUGUGUUAGUGUGAGGCAUUGCAAGGAAAGGGAGCUACAGAUUAAGUCAGUCACCCCUUCAAUUUUAGUCUCAAACUGCCUUAUGGUAGUAGUACGUAAGCAUUAACCCUUUCCUUGCGGACGCGACUAUCCCCUCAGGCGCAGUCGGGCAGCCCAAUGGGGGGUCUCUUUUAACCUCUGUAUCUCAAAAACUAUUCAUCACAGCUAAAAACCAAAAACACCAUUGGAAAGAGGAGGUCCAGAUCUACAGGAGUCAGUUAUGUAUGCCUCUGUCGCGAACGUACAUGCACGUUCAGGGAGUGUUGAAUGUUAACACUUACGUCGGUGCGUGUGGGAUGAUCAGCCGUAUUGAGGGAACUGCGGACAUCUUUUCUUCAGAUUCUGGCAAGGGAGUAUUGCCAACUGCAAUAUUUACAACUAUUUGGUCAAAGAAUCAGUCAGGUGAUAGGUGAAGCUAUGCAAAAAUGACGCUAUAUUGGGCGAGAACAUCCACCAGUUACUCGUCUGUAGAUUUGCCGCUCUGGGCUGAUAUGAUUUCCCACCAAAUUUAGUGAAGAAUCCACUCAAUUGGCAAUCCUGUGUUGUGAGAAUUAGUGUUGGAACACUCUCAUACGCAGGAGAUUUGAGUGCGGCUGGAGGUCGCAGCGAGUGUUUAGCAAUGAAAGGGUUAAGAUAGAUUGUGCUGUAGUAUUGAUGCAUUGUGUGUAGCUAUGAGUUAUGAGAGUGUGUUUCUGAAGUUACUAUGCAUACUAAAUUGCCAGUAUUAAAGAAUGAAUGUGUUACUGUAAGGCAUUGCAAGGAAAGGGAGCUACAGAUGAAGUCAGUCACCCCUCUUAGCUUCUAGUCUCAGGUUGCCUUAUGCUAGAUUAAGAUAGUUUGUGCUGUAGUAUUGAUGUAGUGUGUGUGUAGCUAUGAAUUAUGGGAGUGUGUUUCUAAAGUUACUAUGCAUACUAAAGUGCCAGGGAUGGAGCUGAAAUUUAGUGUGCCAAGUGGAUAUACAUUAGGGGAGGGAAGGUGAAGGAGAGAACCUGGAGAGAUGAAAACUGACAGAGGAAAAGUGGGACGUUUAAAUACAGACUUCCAUAUAAUGUUUUACCUUUAACCCGGUAGCAGCGUGGAUCAUGUUUCUUAAUGGUCCCUCCAAGCGAGAAAGAUGAGAAAAAAUCACCCCUCACACAAACCAUUUCAUAAUAUAUAUCCAAGCAUUUGUGAUCAGAUUAUGUAUCAUCUAUUUUGGGGGGUAUCAAUCAUGCCACAAAUUUGGCCCGUCGCUGCUACACGGUAAAGCCACAAAUUUGGCCCGUCGCUGCUACACGGUAAAGCCACAAAUUUGGCCCGUCGCUGCUACACGGUAAAGCCACAAAUUUGGCCCCUCACUGCUACUGGGUUAAAGAGGGGAGAGAGGAACUAGAAAGAUAAAGAUACGCUAAGACAAUGAGAUUCUAGCGUCACUUUGCAUACUGAAGUUAUUGUGCCAUAUUCUGAAAUGUUCCAGGGCUCACACCCACAUUUGAUAAGGCUUUCAUAGGAGUUGUGGGUAUUUCCAUGGGUAGCUUUAUGACCCUGGUGGUAAUAUGACAAAGCUCCUGUACCAUGAACGUGAAAAAACACUCAUGGGAACCUUUCUAAUAACCUUUGUGGCAUUUGGAAAUAUGUGUUGUGAGACGAGGGAGCGUCGGAGAAUACCACCUAUUGUGUCAAGUGGGUAGAGGUUCAUGUAUAGUCUGAUUUUGAAGUUACCAUGUAUGCUAAAGCCCCAGAGUUGAAGAUGGAGGUUAAAUGUAUUGAUCUUCAUGUAUAGUUUGAUGCUGAAGUUACUAUACAUAAUAAACUCCUAUAGCUAAAGUUAAAAGUAAUGGUCAAAGGCAUAGAUGUUCGUAAAAAGCUUAAUACUGAGGUCACUAUGCAUAUGUAACAAAGAGAAGCAUUGUUAUAAGUAGGAAUAUGUUGUUGUCUAUGUAGUUUGAUGUGAAGUUAUGCCUUAGUCAACCAAUGCAUGCUUACUGAGGCCUUCCAGAGGGUGACUUUUGAGGUAUAACUUGUCUAUGUUCUUUGGUGUGUUAAAAUAGGUCUUCCUUUUGUACUGGUAAAGGUUUUCAGUUUGUAUUUUUAUAGCAUUUUGUACUGGGGUCUCUUCUAUCACUAGCAAGCUUGGGUUUAACCGGGUAGCUGCGGGGAUCACGUUUCUUAAUGGUCCCUCUAAGCGAGAAAAAUGAGAAAAAAUCAUAACUCACACAAACCAUUUCAUAAUUUAUAUCAAAGCAUUUGUGAUCAGCUUAUGCAUCAUCUAUUUUUGGGGGUUUAUAUCAUGGCACAAAUUUGGCCUGUCGCUGCUACACGGUAAAGCCACAAAUUUAGCCCCUCACUGUUACUGGGUUAAGUACAUUCACUCAAAAAAAUGAUGUUCUUUCAACUACAAUCAAGUACAACCAAAAAAUGCUGAUAUGUGUCUGUUGUGAUGUUUGACGACCUGCCUGGUGGAGGUGAGGCCAGGUUGAGGGACUGACAAAGGUGUGUCCUAAGCGUGUGCCUUGGGGAUGCCACUGAGGUCAUGUGAGGUGACUCGGGGCAAAGAGGGGUUGACAGUUCCCAUCAGUAAGGUGGUUCAGUGGUGCCUGGGAGCUGCAGAGUGAAGUGUGUUCAUCUAUAAAACUAAGUAAUUGUUCUUGUACUCGGAUUCGUGAUGUCGUAAUGUAAUCGUACUUGAACAUUAGCACAAAAAUGUACCCGAACCCAAGCCUGCUCAAUAGGUCUGCUUCCACCCUCUCAUUUCCUUCAUCUGAGUUAACGUUCGGUGCCUUCCCAUAAUACUAUAAGUUGUGAGAAUCUCGUAAUGGUAUCUCUUCUCUCAGUAAGUCUGCUUCCGUCCACUCAUUUCCUUCCUCUGAGUUAAUGUUCAGUGCCUUCUCAUAUUAGUAUAAGUUGUGAGAAUCUCGUAAUGGUAUCUCUUCUCUCAGUAAGUCUGCUUCCGUCCUCUCAUUUCCUUCCUCUGAGUUAACAUUCCAUGCCUUCCCAUAAUACAAUAAGUUGUGAGAAUCUCGUAAUGGUAUCUCUUCUCUCAGUAAGUCUGCUUCUGUCCACUCAUUUCCUUCCUCUGAGUUAAUGUUCAGUGCCUUCUCAUAUUAGUAAAAGUUGUGAGAAUCUCGUAAUGGUAUCUCUUCUCUCAGUAAGUCUGCUUCUGUCCACUCAUUUCCUUCCUCUGAGUUAAUGUUCAGUGCCUUCACAUAUUACUAUAAGUUGUGAGAAUCUCGUAAUGGUAUCUCUUCUCUCAGUAAGUAUGCUUCCGUCCACUCAUUUCCUUCCUCUGAGUUAACAUUCCGUGUCUUCCCAUAAUACAAUAAGUUCUAAAAUUUCCUUCAUCUGGAUCAGGUAUUAUUUUUAUAUCUAUCUUUUGUAUCAGGAUUGAGAUUGACUGGAUGGAUGGAUGGAUGGAUGAGACAAAAUAUAACGUAGUUUUAAUACAUAUGAUGGAGUUUCA